AAUUAGUAUUAUAUAGAAAAAUUUAUAUUUUUCUUGCAACGUAUACGACAUGUGAAAACGCUUAGCUGAAAUACAAUCCUUAAAGUUGCUACAUUUUGGUAAAAAUGACAUACUAUCAUCUUCUGCAGGACUCGACCAGUCAUGGACUUGAAAGCAACCAUGACACUGAGCAAGAAUGAAAUCCCUGUCGAUAAUUUCACGGCAGACUGUGCCGACAAUACAAACCACCAAUGGUAAGAAUGCGUCAUUCUAGAUCUUUAGUCGACGUAUAGUCGUACCUCCUUGCAUGGUACUACAACGGUUAUUAGAGAGGUUCAGAUUUGACUUGGGACUGGCUUAGUACGCAUCUGGUUGGUUAAUCGCAUAUAUCAAAUGCAUCUGUUUGGUUAAUCGCAUAUAUCAAAUGCA
rnacentral:lncRNA from 1 species